GAGGAACGCGGGCGGCGUGCCUAAUACAUGCAAGUCGAGCGAACAGACGAGGAGCUUGCUCCUCUGACGUUAGCGGCGGACGGGUGAGUAACACGUGGAUAACCUACCUAUAAGACUGGGAUAACUUCGGGAAACCGGAGCUAAUACCGGAUAAUAUAUUGAACCGCAUGGUUCAAUAGUGAAAGACGGUUUUGCUGUCACUUAUAGAUGGAUCCGCGCCGCAUUAGCUAGUUGGUAAGGUAACGGCUUACCGAGGCAACGAUGCGUAGCCGACCUGAGAGGGUGAUCGGCCACACUGGAACUGAGACACGGUCCAGACUCCUACGGGAGGCAGCAGUAGGGAAUCUUCCGCAAUGGGCGAAAGCCUGACGGAGCAACGCCGCGUGAGUGAUGAAGGUCUUCGGAUCGUAAAACUCUGUUAUUAGGGAAGAACAAAUGUGUAAGUAACUAUGCACGUCUUGACGGUACCUAAUCAGAAAGCCACGGCUAACUACGUG
rnacentral:rRNA from 1 species